rnacentral:rRNA from 1 species
CGAAUGCUGACAUAAGUAACGAUAAAGCGGGUGAAAAGCCCGCUCGCCGGAAGACCAAGGGUUCCUGUCCAACGUUAAUCGGGGCAGGGUGAGUCGACCCCUAAGGCGAGGCCGAAAGGCGUAGUCGAUGGGAAACAGGUUAAUAUUCCUGUACUUGGUGUUACUGCGAAGGGGGGACGGAGAAGGCUAUGUUGGCCGGGCGACGGUUGUCCCGGUUUAAGCGUGUAGGCUGGUUUUCCAGGCAAAUCCGGAAAAUCAAGGCUGAGGCGUGAUGACGAGGCACUACGGUGCUGAAGCAACAAAUGCCCUGCUUCCAGGAAAAGCCUCUAAGCAUCAGGUAACAUCAAAUCGUACCCCAAACCGACACAGGUGGUCAGGUAGAGAAUACCAAGGCGCUUGAGAGAACUCGGGUGAAGGAACUAGGCAAAAUGGUGCCGUAACUUCGGGAGAAGGCACGCUGAUAUGUAGGUGAAGCGACUUGCUCGUGGAGCUGAAAUCAGUCGAAGAUACCAGCUGGCUGCAACUGUUUAUUAAAAACACAGCACUGUGCAAACACGAAAGUGGACGUAUACGGUGUGACGCCUGCCCGGUGCCGGAAGGUUAAUUGAUGGGGUUAGCGGUAACGCGAAGCUCUUGAUCGAAGCCCCGGUAAACGGCGGCCGUAACUAUAACGGUCCUAAGGUAGCGAAAUUCCUUGUCGGGUAAGUUCCGACCUGCACGAAUGGCGUAAUGAUGGCCAGGCUGUCUCCACCCGAGACUCAGUGAAAUUGAACUCGCUGUGAAGAUGCAGUGUACCCGCGGCAAGACGGAAAGACCCCGUGAACCUUUACUAUAGCUUGACACUGAACAUUGAGCCUUGAUGUGUAGGAUAGGUGGGAGGCUUAGAAGUGUGGACGCCAGUCUGCAUGGAGCCGACCUUGAAAUACCACCCUUUAAUGUUUGAUGUUCUAACGUUGGCCCCUGAUCGGGGUUGCGGACAGUGUCUGGUGGGUAGUUUGACUGGGGCGGUCUCCUCCUAAAGAGUAACGGAGGAGCACGAAGGUUGGCUAAUCCUGGUCGGACAUCAGGAGGUUAGUGCAAUGGCAUAAGCCAGCUUGACUGCGAGCGUGACGGCGCGAGCAGGUGCGAAAGCAGGUCAUAGUGAUCCGGUGGUUCUGAAUGGAAGGGCCAUCGCUCAACGGAUAAAAGGUACUCCGGGGAUAACAGGCUGAUACCGCCCAAGAGUUCAUAUCGACGGCGGUGUUUGGCACCUCGAUGUCGGCUCAUCACAUCCUGGGGCUGAAGUAGGUCCCAAGGGUAUGGCUGUUCGCCAUUUAAAGUGGUACGCGAGCUGGGUUUAGAACGUCGUGAGACAGUUCGGUCCCUAUCUGCCGUGGGCGCUGGAGAACUGAGGGGGGCUGCUCCUAGUACGAGAGGACCGGAGUGGACGCAUCACUGGUGUUCGGGUUGUCAUGCCAAUGGCACUGCCCGGUAGCUAAAUGCGGAAGAGAUAAGUGCUGAAAGCAUCUAAGCACGAAACUUGCCCCGAGAUGAGUUCUCCCUGACUCCUUGAGAGUCCUGAAGGAACGUUGAAGACGACGACGUUGAUAGGCCGGGUGUGUAAGCGCAGCGAUGCGUUGAGCUAACCGGUAC